rnacentral:rRNA from 1 species
UCGGUGGGGAAGAAAUUCUCAAGGCUAAUACCCUUGGGCGUUGACGUUACCCACAGAAGAAGCACUGGCUAACUCUGUGCCAGCAGCCGCGGUAAUACAGAGAGUGCAAGCGUUAAUCGGAAUCACUGGGCGUAAAGUGCGCGUAGGUGGAUGUUUAAGUCGGAUGUGAAAGCCCUGGGCUUAACCUAGGAACUGCAUCCGAUACUGGAUGUCUCGAGUAUGGUAGAGGGAAGUGGAAUUUCCGGUGUAGCGGUGAAAUGCAUAGAUAUCGGAAAGAACACCAGUGGCGAAGGCGGCUUCCUGGACUAAUACUGACACUAAGGCGCGAAAGCGUGGGGAGCAAACAGGAUUAGAGACCCUGGUAGUCCACGCCGUCAACGAUGAGAACUAGCUGUUGGGGAGUUUACUUUCUAGUAGCGAAGCUAACGCGUUAAGUUCUCCGCCUGGGGAGUACGGCCGCAAGGUUAAAACUCAAAGAAAUUGACGGGGGCCCGCACAAGCGGUGGAGCAUGUGGUUUAAUUCGAUGCAACACGAAAAACCUUACCUACCCUUGACAUCCUCGGAACUUGUCAGAGAUGAUUUGGUGCCU